UACGGAAGGUGCGAGCGUUAAUCGGAAUUACUGGGCGUAAAGCGCACGUAGGCGGUUACUUAAGUCGGAUGUGAAAGCCCUGGGCUUAACCCUGGGAAUUGCAUCCGAUACUGGGUGACUAGAGUACGGUAGAGGGGGGUGAAUUCCGAGGUGUAGCGGUGAAAUGCGUAGAGAUCUGGAGGAACACCGGUGGCGAAGGCGGCCCCCUGGACUGAUACUCGAC
rnacentral:rRNA from 1 species